UGGGGAAUAUUGCACAAUGGGCGCAAGCCUGAUGCAGCCAUGCCGCGUGUAUGAAGAAGGCCUUCGGGUUGUAAAGUACUUUCAGCGGGGAGGAAGGGAGUAAAGUUAAUACCUUUGCUCAUUGACGUUACCCGCAGAAGAAGCACCGGCUAACUCCGUGCCAGCAGCCGCGGUAAUACGGAGGGUGCAAGCGUUAAUCGGAAUUACUGGGCGUAAAGCGAGCGCAGGCGGUUUCUUAAGUCAGAUGUGAAAUCCCCGGGCUCAACCUGGGAACUGCAUCUGAUACUGGCAAGCUUGAGUCUCGUAGAGGGGGGUAGAAUUCCAGGUGUAGCGGUGAAAUGCGUAGAGAUCUGGAGGAAUACCGGUGGCGAAAGCGGCCCCCUGGACGAAGACUGACGCUCAGGUGCGAAAGCGUGGGGAGCAAACAGG
rnacentral:rRNA from 1 species